rnacentral:misc_RNA from 1 species
UCUAAGGAAUAAAACGGAACCUACACAUCGGAGAAACUUUGUUUAGUUUUGAGGGGUUUACCCUCAGAGCUUGUACUUUGAAAACUAAAUACUAUCUAAUUUCUUUAUUAACAAAACAAUAAACCGAGAACACCGCGUUAUUUGAGUUUUAAUUAACGAAUUAUAAUCGCUAACUCAAUUAAUCAGACAGUCUUUGAUUGUUUAGGUUAAGUUAUGAAGGGCGCAUGGUGAAUGCCUUGGUACUAGGAGCCGAUGAAGGACGGGACUAACACCGAUAUGCUUCGGAGAGCGGUAAGUACGCUUUGAUCCGGAGAUUUC